rnacentral:rRNA from 1 species
GACGAACGCUGGCGGCGUGCUUAACACAUGCAAGUCGAACGGAAAGGCCCUGCUUUUGUGGGGUGCUCGAGUGGCGAACGGGUGAGUAACACGUGAGUAACCUGCCCUUGACUUUGGGAUAACUUCAGGAAACUGGGGCUAAUACCGGAUAGGAGCUCCUGCUGCAUGGUGGGGGUUGGAAAGUUUCGGCGGUUGGGGAUGGACUCGCGGCUUAUCAGCUUGUUGGUGGGGUAGUGGCUUACCAAGGCUUUGACGGGUAGCCGGCCUGAGAGGAUGACCGGCCACAUUGGGACUGAGAUACGGCCCAGACUCCUACGGGAGGCAGCAGUGGGGAAUAUUGCACAAUGGGCGGAAGCCUGAUGCAGCAACGCCGCGUGCGGGAUGACGGCCUUCGGGUUGUAAACCGCUUUCGCCUGUGACGAAGCGUGAGUGACGGUAAUGGGUAAAGAAGCACCGGCUAACUACGUGCCAGCAGCCGCGGUGAUACGUAGGGUGCGAGCGUUGUCCGGAUUUAUUGGGCGUAAAGGGCUCGUAGGUGGUCGAUCGCGUCGGAAGUGUAAUCUUGGGGCUUAACCCUGAGCGUGCUUUCGAUACGGGUUGACUUGAGGAAGGUAGGGGAGAAUGGAAUUCCUGGUGGAGCGGUGGAAUGCGCAGAUAUCAGGAGGAACACCAGUGGCGAAGGCGGUUCUCUGGGCCUUUCCUGACGCUGAGGAGCGAAAGCGUGGGGAGCGAACAGGCUUAGAUACCCUGGUAGUCCACGCUGUAAACGGUGGGUACUAGGUGUGGGGUCCAUUCCACGGGUUCCGUGCCGUAGCUAACGCUUUAAGUACCCCGCCUGGGGAGUACGGCCGCAAGGCUAAAACUCAAAGGAAUUGACGGGGCCCCGCACAAGCGGCGGAGCAUGCGGAUUAAUUCGAUGCAACGCGUAGAACCUUACCUGGGUUUGACAUGGAUCGGGAGUGCUCAGAGAUGGGUGUGCCUCUUUUGGGGUCGGUUCACAGGUGGUGCAUGGCUGUCGUCAGCUCGUGUCGUGAGAUGUUGGGUUAAGUCCCGCAACGAGCGCAACCCUUGUUCACUGUUGCCAGCACGUUAUGGUGGGGACUCAGUGGAGACCGCCGGGGUCAACUCGGAGGAAGGUGGGGAUGACGUCAAGUCAUCAUGCCCCUUAUGUCCAGGGCUUCACGCAUGCUACAAUGGCUGGUACAGAGAGUGGCGAGCCUGUGAGGGUGAGCGAAUCUCGGAAAGCCGGUCUCAGUUCGGAUUGGGGUCUGCAACUCGACCUCAUGAAGUCGGAGUCGCUAGUAAUCGCAGAUCAGCAACGCUGCGGUGAAUACGUUCCCGGGGCUUGUACACACCGCCCGUCAAGUCAUGAAAGUUGGUAACACCCGAAGCCGGUGGCCUAACCGUUGUGGGGGAGCCGUCGAAGGUGGGACUGGUGAUUAGGACU